rnacentral:rRNA from 1 species
UACAGAGGUCUCAAGCGUUUGUUCGGAUUCAUUGGGCGUAAAAGGGUGCGUAGGCGGCGCGGUAAGUCGGGUGUGAAAUCUCGGAGCUUAACUCCGAAAACUGCAUUCGAUACUGCCGUGCUUGAGGACUGGAGAGGAGACUGGAAUUUACGGUGUAGCGGUGAAAUGCGUAGAUAUCGUAAGGAAGACCAGUGGCGAAGGCGGGGUCUCUGGACAGUUCCUGGACGCUGAGGCACGAAGGCCAGGGGGAGCAAACGGG